rnacentral:rRNA from 1 species
CCGCUUUCGGGCGGGGAUUAGUGGCGAACGGGUGAGUAACACGUGGGCAAUCUGCCCUGCACUCUGGGACAAGCCCUGGAAACGGGGUCUAAUACCGGAUAUGACCGUCUGCCGCAUGGUGGAUGGUGUAAAGCUCCGGCGGUGCAGGAUGAGCCCGCGGCCUAUCAGCUUGUUGGUGAGGUAGUGGCUCACCAAGGCGACGACGGGUAGCCGGCCUGAGAGGGCGACCGGCCACACUGGGACUGAGACACGGCCCAGACUCCUACGGGAGGCAGCAGUGGGGAAUAUUGCACAAUGGGCGAAAGCCUGAUGCAGCGACGCCGCGUGAGGGAUGACGGCCUUCGGGUUGUAAACCUCUUUCAGCAGGGAAGAAGCGAAAGUGACGGUACCUGCAGAAGAAGCGCCGGCUAACUACGUGCCAGCAGCCGCGGUAAUACGUAGGGCGCAAGCGUUGUCCGGAAUUAUUGGGCGUAAAGAGCUCGUAGGCGGCUUGUCACGUCGGUUGUGAAAGCCCGGGGCUUAACCCCGGGUCUGCAGUCGAUACGGGCAGGCUAGAGUUCGGUAGGGGAGAUCGGAAUUCCUGGUGUAGCGGUGAAAUGCGCAGAUAUCA